rnacentral:misc_RNA from 1 species
UUUCCGUAGGUGAACCUGCGGAAGGAUCUUUACAGAGUUCAUGCCCUCACGGGUAGAUCUCCCACCCUUGAAUAUUUAUACCUUAGUUGCUUUGGCAGGCCGUGGAAACACCAUGGGCUCCGGCUUAUGCGUGCCUGCCAGAGGAAACAAACUCUGUUUUUAGUGAUGUCUGAGUACUAUAUAAUAGUUAAAACUUUCAACAACGGAUCUCUUGGUUCUG